GGAUCAAUAUAUUGGUCAUGCUUAGGUAUGUACUGGUAUUAUUGAUUUCUCCCUUCUGAAGAACCAUGAUGUCAUUAAUUUGAUGUCGUGGGGAAUCAGGACUGUUACUUUGAAAAAAUUAGAGUGUUUAAAGCAGGCUUUCGCUUGAAUACAUUAGCAUGGAAUAAUGAAAUAGGACGUUUGAUUCUAUUUUGUUGGUUUCUAGGAUCGACGUAAUGAUUAAUAGGGAUAGUUG
rnacentral:rRNA from 1 species